rnacentral:rRNA from 1 species
GACGAACGCUGGCGGCGUGCUUAACACAUGCAAGUGGAGCGACGAACCAGGGCUUGCCCUGGGGCAGAGCCGCGAACGGGUGAGUAACACGUGGGUAACGUACCCCGAUGACUGGGACGAACCCGGGGAAACCCGGGGACCGUAAUACCGGAUGUGCACCCUCACAUCAGUGAGGUGUGUAAAGGAAGCUUCGGCCUCCGCGUUGGGAGUCGGCCCGCGGCGCAUUAGCUUGUUGGUGAGGUAACGGCUCACCAAGGCCGCGAUGCGUAGCUGGUCUGAGAGGACGAUCAGCCACACUGGGACUGAGACACGGCCCAGACUCCUACGGGAGGCAGCAGUGGGGAAUCUUGCGCAAUGCGCGAAAGCGUGACGCAGCAACGCCGCGGUGGGGGAAGAAGG